CCGCAUGGCCGCGGGAUUUCCGUAGGUGANACCUGCGGAAGGAUCAUUCGCACAAUGUUCUAUUACACACGUCACACAUCAUAUUGAUACCCCCUGUAAGUAAUCAGGACAUCUGUCCUACUCUUCGAUGUUGCAAUUUCAUUGUAGCGCUUGCAAUGUUACCUAUCUCUUGCAACGACGAAUGCCUUGGCUCGAGGAUCGUUGAAGGACGCAGCGAACUGUGUUACACAUCUCGAAUUGCAGAUUUCCGAGAAAGAUAAGGAUUCUGAACGCAUUCUGCGAGUUGGGCUUGCCCAACUCACGUGGCAGACGGUGACCGCAAUAUGCAGUCGUCCGAACUCUGAAGUUUGGAUGGUGAUCUCAUGUCGUCGCGUUUCGCGCCGACGAGAUCGUAGAAGUCAGCGUGUUUUCGUUUCGAACACCAAUAGUUGCUUCGUGCUCUGUUGUGUUUGAUCGAUACAAGCUACGAUUUGGUUUUCCAAAUUUUUUUACGCACGAUCACGAUCUGUCACGGGAGUACCCGCUGAAUUUAAGCAUAUCAAU
rnacentral:rRNA from 1 species